rnacentral:rRNA from 1 species
AACGGGUGAGUAAUGCAUCGGAACGUACCCAGUAGUGGGGGAUAACUUACCGAAAGGUAAGCUAAUACCGCAUACGCACUGAGGUGGAAAGCAGGGGACCGCAAGGCCUUGCGCUAUUGGAGCGGCCGAUGUCGGAUUAGCUAGUUGGUGGGGCAAAGGCCUACCAAGGCGACGAUCCGUAGCGGGUCUGAGAGGAUGAUCCGCCACACUGGAACUGAGACACGGUCCAGACUCCUACGGGAGGCAGCAGUGGGGAAUUUUGGACAAUGGGCGCAAGCCUGAUCCAGCCAUGCCGCGUGAGUGAAGAAGGCCUUCGGGUUGUAAAGCUCUUUCGGCCGGGAAGAAAUCGUGGUGGCGAAUACCUGCCAUGGAUGACGGUACCGGACUAAGAAGCACCGGCUAACUACGUGCCAGCAGCCGCGGUAAUACGUAGGGUGCGAGCGUUAAUCGGAAUUACUGGGCGUAAAGCGUGCGCAGGCGGUUGUGUAAGACAGGCGUGAAAUCCCCGGGCUCAACCUGGGAACUGCGCUUGUGACUGCACGGCUAGAGUACGGCAGAGGGGGGGUGGAAUUCCACGUGUAGCAGUGAAAUGCGUAGAGAUGUGGAGGAACACCGAUGGCGAAGGCAGCCCCCUGGGUCGAUACUGACGCUCAUGCACGAAAGCGUGGGGAGCAAACAGGAUUAGAUACCCUGGUAGUCCACGCCCUAAACGAUGUCGACUAGUUGUUGGGAGGGGUAAAACCCUUUAGUAACGUAGCUAACGCGUGAAGUCGACCGCCUGGGGAGUACGGCCGCAAGGU